rnacentral:rRNA from 1 species
UACGUAGGUGGCAAGCGUUAUCCGGAAUUAUUGGGCGUAAAGAGCGCGCAGGUGGUUAAUUAAGUCUGAUGUGAAAGCCCACGGCUUAACCGUGGAGGGUCAUUGGAAACUGGUUGACUUGAGUGCAGAAGAGGGAAGUGGAAUUCCAUGUGUAGCGGUGAAAUGCGUAGAGAUAUGGAGGAACACCAGUGGCGAAGGCGGCUUCCUGGUCCUCAACUGACACUGAGGCGCGAAAGCGUGGGGAGCAAACAGG